UUAGGGCUAUACAAAUAAACUUGACUUGACUUGACUUGACUUGACUUGACAUGACUUGAUCCUAGAUGUCGAUAUCACUUAAUAGUCACUUAACAGAUAAUAGUGACAGAUUUCAAAAUAACUUGUGUAGAGGUGAAAAACCACCUCGCUGGAUUUAGUGUCAUGUGUGUGUCAGGGUCCGGGAGGUUUUUCCCUUAUCCACAUGGGGGCAGCCGUGAGCAGAGUGGAGGAGGACCCAGAGGUGUGGCUGAUCCCCACAGCUCUUGGAUCCCCUGACUUGGACCGCCGACCGGCUCCACUCUGCUCAGACCGAACCACUCACGCUCCACAAUCACAGCUCUAAUUCCGUGCCCCUGGCUCGGACCCCCAGCACUAUUGCUUCCUCACUCCCUUCAAUACAAACUCCACAUCCAUCUGGGACUCCUGAUCGGUUUCUGCAUGUGGGUCAAACACUCGCUAAAACUAUGACAGAGUCCACACAAGAGAGCUCAUCCCUUCCUCUUACACACACACCUCUGCUCAGCCAAAUUUAUUGUGACUUAAUCAUGUCACACACCAACAUGAUGGAAAUUGACUCCUACAGUACUAAGACCACAGGCCAGUCAUUCUCAUCAAUGCACAUUAUUAACAGUAUUGUUUUGAUGUUUUCCUGUAGGGAAUUGUUGACUGCUGGCUUUGUUUCUUUAAUAUAGGAGCUUUGACUUACUACAUCUGGAUGCUUUAAAUACCAAUGUGAAUGUCAUGACAGCAAUGCACUUGAUGUCAUACAAAUCAACUUCAUUCUAAAG